rnacentral:misc_RNA from 1 species
AGGAAGUAAAAGUCGUAACAAGGUCUCCGUAGGUGAACCUGCGGAGGGAUCAUUACAAGUGACCCCGGUCUAACCACCGGGAUGUUCAUAACCCUUUGUUGUCCGACUCUGUUGCCUCCGGGGCGACCCUGCCUUCGGGCGGGGGCUCCGGGUGGACACUUCAAACUCUUGCGUAACUUUGCAGUCUGAGUAAACUUAAUUAAUAAAUUAAAACUUUUAACAACGGAUCUCUUGGUUCUGGCAUCGAUGAAGAACGCAGCGAAAUGCGAUAAGUAAUGUGAAUUGCAGAAUUCAGUGAAUCAUCGAAUCUUUGAACGCACAUUGCGCCCCCUGGUAUUCCGGGGGGCAUGCCUGUUCGAGCGUCAUUUCACCACUCAAGCCUCGCUUGGUAUUGGGCAACGCGGUCCGCCGCGUGCCUCAAAUCGACCGGCUGGGUCUUCUGUCCCCUAAGCGUUGUGGAAACUAUUCGCUAAAGGGUGUUCGGGAGGCUACGCCGUAAAAC